GCUUCGCGCCGUUUCUUCCUGCUCCCUUCACUUCAGGUUAACGGUACGCACGCGCUGAUAGGAUGCGUUUCCUCUGAGAGUGACCGAAAUCGACGGUUUAGAGCAGUUUCUUCGCUCCAUUCACCGCAGUUCGAGGCAUUGACAAGAUCUGUGUCCGGUAUUUUUGAGAGUCUCCCCAAAAGGCUAACGAUAUGACUGAGCAUUGGACUACCACAGAGGUUUGCCAGUGGCUUGAUGAAGUGUCACUGGGACACGCGAAACCAGCAUUCAUCGAAUGAAGUAGAUGGUCCAACGCUAUUAAAAAUGACUGAAAGAAUGAGUGAACGUCUCUUCCCAAAAAUCAAAGAACAGAUACAAUUUAUGUCUGCAUUGGAAGACCUGAAAUCCCACCGUGACCUCACUGAACAUGUAAUAUCACAGACCACUCCAGUGGUUCUGCACUCCAAUACUGAAGUACGGUAUCCUACAUUUCUAAUGAGUGCCCUUGAAAAGCAGGACCCGCAGCUGAAGUCUCCUACUAAGAAUAAAUUCAAAAAUGCAUUAAC